rnacentral:lncRNA from 1 species
AGCCAUCCACAAUGUUGUUCAUGCUAUUAUUCUGCAUCAACAGCAACAACAACAACAACAACAACAACAACCGUUGAGCCAGGUCUCCUUCCAACAGCCUCAACAACAAUAACCAUCAGGCCAGGGCUCCUUCCAGCCAUCUCAGCAAAACCCACAGGCCCAGGGCUCUGUCCAGCCUCAACAACUGCCCCAGUUUGAGGAAAUAAGGAACCUAGCGCUAGAGACGCUACCUGCAAUGUGCAAUGUCUAUAUCCCUCCAUAUUGCACCAUUGCUCCAGUUGGCAUCUUCGGUACUAACUGAGAAGAGAAGAACUCUAGUAGUAGAUAUAUGAUACACCGUUUUCUUAGUCCAUGGUUUGGUCGUUGUAGCGGUGAAAAAAUAAAGUGACAUGCACUAUCAUGUAAGAACCCGAACUAUACUAGUUCAAACAUGGGAAUAAAAGACAAACACAUGUCUUGUCUACAUAUGAUUGUUUGUUUGAGUUCCACUCAUGUGCCCACUCACAAGUUCACCCCUAAUUAUAUAUAUUAUGCAUUAAGUAGAUAUUUAUGUUGCAUUAAUCUAAAGAUAACAAAAUGAGUCUGAAAUUUGAAUUAAAUUGAAGUAUUUCCUUGGACUUUCAAAUGGAGUAUUAUUAAAGUAGUAAGGACUAUCCACAUCCUUGGCUUGCCCUUGAUCAAUUAUUUCCAGAGAAGCAUUCAAUUCAUUAAUCAAUUACAUUGAUUUUUGUGGCUGAUACUUUUCCUCAACAUGAGUAUAUUCAUCGCGGCUACUCCAAAUAGGCAUGAAUGAGGUACCGGUGCUCUGGAGCACUGGUACCUAACUGCUUCUCAUGUGAAGGGGUGGGGGUGCGGGAGAGGUGUUUUUGGUGGGCCAGGGGAGUAAGAAGCGGCCGUGGCAGCGGUCCAGACACCCACAAAGCCCCGUAGUUUGUUUUUGGUUUACAGGAAAAUGCACAUCCAGACCGGCCUGCGGGCCGAUAUAGGACCGUAUUGAAUGGCAAAACAUGUCCGGAUGGUUGCGAGCGGUUUAAGGGUUAGCUUUUGUAACGGCCGGUUAGUUAUGCUAUGGUAAUUCCCUGCUAAUGAUGUCACGUCAGCACGAUUACUGUUGUUAACCUCACAAUGAUUCAAUCCCAUUCAAAUUCAAAUUUAAAAUAAAGGCAAACAUCAAAAGUUUCAAACAUUAAAACUAAAAUCUUCGAGAGGUGAAAAAUAAUGCAUAAGUAAUUAUGGUGGAGAAACCACACUUUUAUAAAAUGUUUAAAUACUCUAAAAAUAAUAAAACAGUGGCUUAAACUAUUAUUUAAAUGCUUUUAAAAUAGUAAAAAUGUUCUAACUAAAUUAAUUGGGUACCAAACUUUUGGUGGCAGUGGUAUAUUUAGUAGAACUAAUUUAGAUGCUAAUAAAACAUAAAAGGAAAGACAAAACAAAUAAAAGUAAAAGGGGGCAACCCCUCGCUGGGCCUCGGCCAAGCUGGCCACUGGGCUAGCUAGGUUGGCCCAACCGCCUCCCUUAACCCCCCACUCCCCAUCGAACCCUAGACCGAUCGCCCCACUUCCCCACACCCCCUCGUCAGCCUCCCCACCUCUCGAUCCCAUCUGGAUCGGGGAGGGGAUCGCCCCCAUCGACCCCGUCGCGGUCGCUGGAUCGCCCGCUCGCCCAUCGCCCGCCGGCGUCGCCGGACCUCCUCCCCGUCGCACGUCUCCGGCUCUCCUCCCCUCUCGCUCCUCUUCCCCGACCCGAUCUGGAUCGGGAAGGGCCAAUGAGCCCAACGCCCCCCUCCAUCGACGCUGUGCUCCAGCACCGCCGCCCGAAGACCUCGCCAUCGCCGGACCUCGCGUCGCCUCCUCGUAUCCCUCCCCGACUCGCCUCCUCAAGCCACGCCGACCCCCUUCUCGGCAACGCUGUGAGCCGCCUCCGUUUCCCUCCUUCUCUUUCCACCGUGUUCACCGCGCCGCCUGCCGUGCCCCUCGCCGCGCGCACGCCCACCACCGCGCCAGCCCCCGCUCCGCGCCCUCUCCUGCACGCUUGUGCGCGCAUGACCCUAGCCGCGCCCACGCCGUGAUCCCCUUGUCCCGCCCGCCUUCGUCCCGCGCUCGCCGCGGCCCCCAUGCUCCCCUGCGCCCUCUUUUGGGGUCGUCGGCUGCCCCUGUCCCGCAGCUCGCUGGCAUGCGUCCCCGCCCGCGCCUCGCCACUGCUCUACUGCUACGCUACUAUUGCGCUGUGGCCGCCGCCGCUUCCCGCUGCUCUGCCAGCGCCAAAGGUCCCGGUUGGCCCUGCCGCUGCUCGCGUUUAACCGCCGGCCUAAGCGGCCUAACCUCCCCCCUCACUAAUGAACCCCCACCGACCGGCUGACACCGGGACCCACAUCCCCUAAUUAACCAUUUAAUAAAUUAAAACUCUUAAAUUAACAUUAGUGUAUGACAUGUGGGUCCCCUAUUAAUUAAACUGAUUUAAUUAAAAUCUAUUAACUUUGAGUCUAUGACAUAUGGGCCCC